GGUCUUGUGGUGUAGUGGUUAUCACGUCUGCUUCACACGCAGAAGGUUCGAUCCCGGCCAAGACAU
rnacentral:tRNA from 1 species